rnacentral:rRNA from 1 species
CGUAGGUGGCAAGCGUUGUCCGGAUUUAUUGGGCGUAAAGGGAACGCAGGCGGUUUUUAAGUCUGAUGUGAAAGCCUUCGGCUUAACCGGAGAUGUGCAUUGGAAACUGGAAGACUUGAGUGCAGAAGAGGAGAGUGGAACUCCAUGUGUAGCGGUGAAAUGCGUAGAUAUAUGGAAGAACACCAGUGGCGAAAGCGGCUCUCUGGUCUGUAACUGACGCUGAGGUUCGAAAGCAUGGUAGCGAACAGGAUU